rnacentral:rRNA from 1 species
GACGAACGUUGGCGGCGUGCUUAACACAUGCAAGUCGAACGGAAAGGCCCUGCUUUUGUGGGGUGCUCGAGUGGCGAACGGGUGAGUAACACGUGAGUAACCUGCCCUUGACUUUGGGAUAACUUCAGGAAACUGGGGCUAAUACCGGAUAGGAGCUCCUGCUGCAUGGUGGGGGUUGGAAAGUUUCGGCGGUUGGGGAUGGACUCGCGGCUUAUCAGCUUGUUGGUGGGGCAGUGGCUUACCAAGGCUUUGACGGGUAGCCGGCCUGAGAGGGUGACCGGCCACAUUGGGACUGAGAUACGGCCCAGACUCCUACGGGAGGCAGCAGUGGGGAAUAUUGCACAAUGGGCGGAAGCCUGAUGCAGCAACGCCGCGUGCGGGAUGACGGCCUUCGGGUUGUAAACCGCUUUCGCCUGUGACGAAGCGUGAGUGACGGUAAUGGGUAAAGAAGCACCGGCUAACUACGUGCCAGCAGCCGCGGUGAUACGUAGGGUGCGAGCGUUGUCCGGAUUUAUUGGGCGUAAAGGGCUCGUAGGUGGUUGAUCGCGUCGGAAGUGUAAUCUUGGGGCUUAACCCUGAGCGUGCUUUCGAUACGGGUUGACUUGAGGAAGGUAGGGGAGAAUGGAAUUCCUGGUGGAGCGGUGGAAUGCGCAGAUAUCAGGAGGAACACCAGUGGCGAAGGCGGUUCCCUGGGCCUUUCCUGACGCUGAGGAGCGAAAGCGUGGGGAGCGAACAGGCUUAGGUACCCUGGUAGUCCACGCUGUAAACGGUGGGUACUAGGUGUGGGGUCCAUUCCACGGGUUCCGUGCCGUAGCUAACGCUUUAAGUACCCCGCCUGGGGAGUACGGCCGCAAGGCUAAAACUCAAAGGAAUUGACGGGGCCCCGCACAAGCGGCGGAGCAUGCGGAUUAAUUCGAUGCAACGCGUAGAACCUUACCUGGGUUUGACAUGGGUCGGGAGUGCUCAGAGAUGGGUGUGCCUCUUUUGGGGUCGGUUCACAGGUGGUGCAUGGCUGUCGUCAGCUCGUGUCGUGAGAUGUUGGGUUAAGUCCCGCAACGAGCGCAACCCUUGUUCACUGUUGCCAGCACGUUAUGGUGGGGACUCAGUGGGGACCGCCGGGGUCAACUCGGAGGAAGGUGGGGAUGACGUCAAGUCAUCAUGCCCCUUAUGUCCAGGGCUUCACGCAUGCUACAAUGGCUGGUACAGAGAGUGGCGAGCCUGUGAGGGUGAGCGAAUCUCGGAAAGCCGGUCUCAGUUCGGAUUGGGGUCUGCAACUCGACCUCAUGAAGUCGGAGUCGCUAGUAAUCGCAGAUCAGCAACGCUGCGGUGAAUACGUUCCCGGG